CGACCGCGAGGCACCGCCGCCCGAGCCGCUCCUCGGGCGAGGCGAAGCCGAAGCGCCCCCGCCCCGGCUCCCCGCCCGCAGCGGGACGGGUUGCUGCAGGGUUGCUGCCAAAGGUGUGUGCAGACGGACAGAUAAACAAGGUCAAGAUGACCAAGUAAGAAAUUAUGAGGAAACACACGGCAGAACACUUUACAACCGUUGUAAUCUUGGCCUGCCUGAAAAGAAGAUGAAGAAGAAGUUUUAAGAUUUGUCCUGUAAUUUCAUAGUCUUUUUUUGACUUUAAAGUUUUUGAAGAAAACUAGGAUGUUUUUGCAGCUCCUUCUGUUGUAAACUAAUUUUAAAAGGUGAAAAAAGAACACAGAG